rnacentral:rRNA from 1 species
GUAGGUGGCAAGCGUUGUCCGGAAUUAUUGGGCGUAAAGCGCGCGCAGGCGGUUCUUUAAGUCUGAUGUGAAAGCCCACGGCUCAACCGUGGAGGGUCAUUGGAAACUGGAGAACUUGAGUACAGAAGAGGAAAGCGGAAUUCCACGUGUAGCGGUGAAAUGCGUAGAGAUGUGGAGGAACACCAGUGGCGAAGGCGGCUUUCUGGUCUGUAACUGACGCUGAGGCGCGAAAGCGUGGGGAGCAAACAGGGAUUAGAUACCCUGGUAGUCCACGCCGUAAACGAUGAGUGCUAAGUGUUAGGGGGUUUUUCGCCCCCUUAGUGCUGCAGCUAACGCAUUAAGCACUCCGCCUGGGGAGUACGGCCGCAAGGCUG